rnacentral:rRNA from 1 species
ACAAGCGGAGGAACUAUGUGGUUUAAUUCGAUGAUACGCGAGGAACCUUACUGGGCUUAAUGGGAGUGACAGCUGUCGAAAGAUGGUUUUCUUCGGACACUCUUCAAGGUGCUGCAUGGUUGUCGUCAGCUCGUGCCGUGAGGUGUCGGUUAAGUCCCAUAACGAGCGCAACCCUUACCGUUAGUUACCAUCAGGUUAAGCUGGGGACUCUAGCGGGACUGCCACCGUAAGGUGAGAGGAAGUGGGGAUGACGUCAAAUCAGCACGGCCCUUAUGUCCAGGGCUACACACGUGUUACAAUGGCCAGUACAAAGGGCAGCUACCGGGUGACCGGAUGCUAAUCUCUAAAGCUGGUCUCAGUUCGGAUCGAAGUCUGCAACCCGACUUCGUGAAGCUGGAUUCGCUAGUAAUCGCGCAUCAGCCAUGGCGCGGUGAAUACGUUCCCGGGCCUU